rnacentral:rRNA from 1 species
AUGCCUGCUGGUGACAACCCACACUCGAUAUCAGAGAAAAAGGCAGCACUGAGGGAGUCACCUAAGCAAUCUAAGAAUGAUGUUAAUCAGCAAGCCAGAGCUUCUACAUUUCCUAAAGACAAAGUUGCUGGGACCGUUGGCAUCAAGAGGCCGCAACCUAACGCCCCCCUGAGCCUAACCACCAACCAGCACGCGCCAGGAAAUCCCGGGGCAAAUGGCCAUCUCGUGUAUGUGCGCAGGAAGCUUGAGACAGACCAAAGCAAAGGAGGCGCUUCUGCUGGUGCAGAGAGUGCCAAUUCUGUGAGCUCAAAGAAACCUGCUACUGGUGGACCGCAGGAGCAAAGUUUGAAGCUUCAGAACAGUGCGACUCAUGCCCAAUCAGCUCCUGUUUCCGUGUCUCCUGCUGCAGCUGCUGCUACCACCAAUGCGUCUCAUACUCCAUCAGCUCCUGUUUCCGCGUCUCCUGCUGCAGCUGCUGCUACCACCAAUGCGUCUCAUACUCCAUCAGCUCCUGUUUCUGCGCCUCCUGCUGCUGCAGCUGCUGCUACUGCCCCUGCUUUGCACCCUGCAAGUUUGCCGGCUCACCUUUCUCUCGCGAAACAGUCUCCAGGAGUGGUCGCUGCUACUGCCCCUUCAUUGCACCCUCCAACUUUGCCAGCUCACCUUUCUCUUGCGAAACAAUCUCCAGGGAAGGCUACUGUCCAUCCAAGUGUUGUUGUGACUGCUAGUCCGCCGCACUGCAGUGUUGUGUCUACUGCCAUGCCUCAGAACUAUACGGCUGUCAAUACAUCGCCUUGUAAUGCUGUGGCUACUAGUGCAGCACCUCGUGAUGCUGUGGCUACUGCUACGACACGUAAUCCAACUGAUUCGCAAAGAUCAGGGGAUCAAGAUUGGAAAGCAAGGUUUCUUCGGCUGCAGGCAUUCCUGAGAAAUAAUGAGCAAUCAGGACAGGAAGAAUACAUCCGCAUGCUCCAGUCUUUGUCAUCUGUUGGCCGGAGCAAGCAUGCCAUUGAGCUGGAGAAACGAGCAGUCAAUCUCUUAAUUGAAGAAGGGAAGGAGCUGCAGAAGAUGAAAUCUCUGAAUGUGCUCGGCAAGCUUCCACCUGCCGAACAUCCAUCACUACCAACUCAGCCAACUUUUGGUAUGCGUCUGCCGUUCCAGCCAUUCCCAGCCCGCCGCUGA